rnacentral:rRNA from 1 species
UACGAAGGGGGCUAGCGUUGCUCGGAAUCACUGGGCGUAAAGGGUGCGUAGGCGGGUUUCUAAGUCAGAGGUGAAAUCCUGGAGCUCAACUCCAGAACUGCCUUUGAUACUGGAAGUCUUGAGUAUGGGAGAGGUGAGUGGAACUGCGAGUGUAGAGGUGAAAUUCGUAGAUAUUCGCAAGAACACCAGUGGCGAAGGCGGCUCACUGGCCCGAUACUGACGCUGAGGCACGAAAGCGUGGGGAGCAAACAGG